rnacentral:rRNA from 1 species
AUGAACGCUGGCGGCGUGCCUAAUACAUGCAAGCCGAGCGAACGGACGAGAAGCUUGCUUCUCUGAUGUUAGCGGCGGACGGGUGAGUAACACGUGGAUAACCUACCUAUAAGACUGGGAUAACUUCGGGAAACCGGAGCUAAUACCGGAUAAUAUUUUGAACCGCAUGGUUCAAAAGUGAAAGACGGUCUUGCUGUCACUUUUAGAUGGAUCCGCGCUGCAUUAGCUAGUUGGUAAGGUAACGGCUUACCAAGGCAACGAUGCAUAGCCGACCUGAGAGGGUGAUCGGCCACACUGGAACUGAGACACGGUCCAGACUCCUACGGGAGGCAGCAGUAGGGAAUCUUCCGCAAUGGGCGAAAGCCUGACGGAGCAACGCCGCGUGAGUGAUGAAGGUCUUCGGAUCGUAAAACUCUGUUAUUAGGGAAGAACAUAUGUGUAAGUAACUGUGCACAUCUUGACGGUACCUAAUCAGAAAGCCACGGCUAACUACGUG